CCCUGCUGGCUGGCCUCAUCUCAGGAACCGCAGGGACUUGAAAAACCGUGCUCUUGGUCCCCCAGAGCAGGGAUAUCAUGAUGCCAUGGCAGACACAGCCCAGCAGCCCACAUGGACCUUCCAACCUGGGGGGCAAAUGGGGAAACUGCCACCUCUGGAAGGUCAGCACACACUUUCAAAGUCACCAGGUUACUAAAUGGCAGAACAGGGAUUCAAACCCCCGCGGGCCAGAAAUUCUUAUCCCCCACGGUGAUGGUGCCA